UCGAGCCGCCUCGCCCGUCUUCCUAGUGGGAACGGCUGAGUGCGUAGCCCUGGGCGGAGGGGCGUGCUGGGAACGCAACCACAGCCCCUGGUUUGAACAGCGGGACCAGCUAGUCCCUGCCACCUAGUACACAGGGCACUGCUGCCACUAGGAAGCAAAAAGAAAUCUGCAACUAUGUGAAAAGAUACUUGUGAUGUGAUGAGACCUAAAAAGCCUAUUUGGAACAAGUCCCUUCUCUCCUGGCCUCACCUUGCGCACGGACACGCGGAAGAUGCAGGGGUCCAGCAGGCCAGUGGCCGGGUUGGCGCUCAUCUUACACACGAAGGUGAACCUCUUCCGCCACCGCACACAGUUCUCCUGCACCUCCUCCCUGGGGGCCAGACCGGACAGGAACCGCCAAGCAAACAGCUGAGGAAGUGACCUCUCCACACCCCAGGGACCCGAGGAGCGCGGUCAGCUGCCAGUCGCCCGAGGGUGGGGAGUCAGCGAAAGCAGGAACCUCCGGGACAGGCUUGUUUGCUUUUCACGA